UGGGGAAUAUUGCACAAUGGGCGCAAGCCUGAUGCAGCCAUGCCGCGUGUGUGAAGAAGGCCUUCGGGUUGUAAAGCACUUUCAGCGAGGAGGAAGGUGGUGAACUUAAUACGUUCAUCAAUUGACGUUACUCGCAGAAGAAGCACCGGCUAACUCCGUGCCAGCAGCCGCGGUAAUACGGAGGGUGCAAGCGUUAAUCGGAAUUACUGGGCGUAAAGCGCACGCAGGCGGUUUUGUUAAGUCAGAUGUGAAAUCCCCGGGCUCAACCUGGGAACUGCAUUUGAAACUGGCAAGCUAGAUCUCGUAGAGGGGGGUAGAAUUCCAGGUGUAGCGGUGAAAUGCGUAGAGAUCUGGAGGAAUACCGGUGGCGAAGGCGGCCCCCUGGACGAAGACUGACGCUCAGGUGCGAAAGCGU
rnacentral:rRNA from 1 species